rnacentral:ncRNA from 1 species
GAAAAAGAUGAAAAGAGGCAUUAGUACUCCCCUUGACACGGAUGGAGGAGGCCCUCGAGCCUGACAGAUGCAUAUGGUUAAGACAUCAAUUAACCAAAAUUAAAA